ACAGAGGGGGCAAGCGUUAUUCGGAAUUAUUGGGCGUAAAGGGCGCGUAGGCGGUGUCUUAAGUGAGAUGUGUAAUCCCCGGGCUUAACUUGGGAACUGCAUCUCAGACUGGGGCGCUAGAGUACUGGAGAGGGUGGUGGAAUUCCACGUGUAGCGGUGAAAUGCGUAGAGCUGUGGAGGAGCACCAUUGGCGUAGGCGGCCACCUGGACAGUGUCUGACGCUGAGGCGCGAAAGUGUGGGGAGCGAACAG
rnacentral:rRNA from 1 species